UCAUCAGAGUCCCCGGCAAGCCAUUUAUACCUGUCUUGGUCAUGGGUGGCUUUGGGUCCCUACAUGAGCCCCGAAAGUCUUUGCUGAAGAGUGUGAGUAAGAACAGCUGGCCCGCCCUGAGCUCACCCUCUGCACCAAGCACUGCACAGGUGAAUCCUAGAAGCAAGGGGGUAGACAGAAUGAUUGCCUGCACUUUACAGAUGAAGGAACGGAGGCUCGGAGAGCUGAAACGGAUCGUGUGAGUGCGCACACUCACUCAGCGGCAGAGCUGGGGCCGAACCAGGCAGUCUUCCCGGAGCUGGAGGGACACACACCACACGGCUGUCUCCAGUCUUGGGGUUUUCUUGGAUGCAAGAGAAAUCAUGAAUUGCACCCUCUUUAAAGCUGCCUACAAUACAUGGAAGGUGAUUUAAUGCGAACUAAUAUCAGAUGAAGCCCUGCCACUAGCUGGACACCAUGUGAUGCAUGCUGGAGGAAGCAGAGAUGAAUGGACCUCCGGGAGCUCAUUGGCUGGCUGUAAAGCUGCAACACGCAUCAGUAACUCAGAUCUAAGGCAGCGUGCUGCCAGCGACAUGACGAGAAGUGCGGAGAAUGUGUGGAUGAGGCGUCUCCAGCAGCAUCUUAUGGGAGGAGGGGACCUCACAGAGGUCCAGUAACUUGUCCAAAGCCACGCAGUUACUCAGAUUUGUACCUGGGAUUAGAUGUGAGUUCAGUCUGGUUAAAAACUCACGUUUGUUUACUCCACACCAAGAAGCAGAGGUCAAAGCCAACUCUAAAGCAGAGUAAGACCACUCAACAAAAAAUGACAUCUGUGCUGUCCAACAUGGUGGCCACUGACCACGAAAUGUGGCGAGUUUGAGUGAGGAGCUGUACUUUAAAUUUUAUUUCAGCGUGGUUAGUGGCUACCGUGUUGGACAGCUCAGGUCUAGACUGGGGAAACUGAUGUAAAAGAAGGGGUGAUGUUGACGAUCGAAGUUUUCCAUGACUGGGACAGUGAAAGAUUUUUAGAGGAUAAAAGUUGAAAGGAAAGCAGACUUUGAUUUGAGAGGCACUGUUAAUAAUAAUUUAACAAGCAGUUUUUGUGGAGGCCAAAUAUUUUUCCACCCUUGGCUCAAAGCACCCAUUUGG